rnacentral:rRNA from 1 species
CGGAACGGGUGAGUAAUGCGUGACCAACCUCGCCCCAUGCUCCAGAAUAGCUCUUGGAAACGGGUGGUAAUGCUGGAUGCUCCAACUUGACGCAUGUCUUGUUGGGAAGUGUUUAGUGGCAUGGGAUGGGGUCGCGUCCUAUCAGCUUGUAGGCGGGGUAAUGGCCCACCUAGGCUUCGACGGGUAGCCGGCCUGAGAGGGCGGACGGCCACAUUGGGACUGAGAUACGGCCCAGACUCCUACGGGAGGCAGCAGGU